rnacentral:rRNA from 1 species
UAGGGAAUAUUGGACAAUGGGCGCAAGCCUGAUCCAGCCAUGCCGCGUGCGGGAUGAAUGCCCUAUGGGUUGUAAACCGCUUUUCUAAGGGAAGAAACCCCCGAUGUCUAUCGGGGCUGACGGUACCUUAGGAAUAAGCACCGGCUAACUCCGUGCCAGCAGCCGCGGUAAUACGGAGGGUGCAAGCGUUAUCCGGAAUCACUGGGUUUAAAGGGUGCGCAGGCUGACCGGUAAGUCAGUGGUGAAAGAUUUGAGCUCAACUCAAAACUGGCCAUUGAUACUGUCGGUCUUGAGUGCAGUUGAGGCAGGCGGAAUGCGUCAUGUAGCGGUGAAAUGCAUAGAUAUGACGCAGAACACCGAUUGCGAAGGCAGCUUGCUAAACUGUAACUGACGCUGAGGCACGAAAGCGUGGGGAGCAAACA